GAUGAACGCUGGCGGCGUGCUUAACACAUGCAAGUCGAACGGAAAGGCCCAAGCUUGCUUGGGUACUCGAGUGGCGAACGGGUGAGUAACACGUGGGUGAUCUGCCCUGCACUUCGGGAUAAGCCUGGGAAACUGGGUCUAAUACCGGAUAGGACCACAUUUUGGAUGGUGUGGUGGAAAGUUUUUCGGUGUGGGAUGAGCUCGCGGCCUAUCAGCUUGUUGGUGGGGUAAUGGCCUACCAAGGCGUCGACGGGUAGCCGGCCUGAGAGGGUGUACGGCCACAGUGGGACUGAGAGACGGCCCAGACUCCUACGGGAGGCAGCAGUGGGGAAUAUUGCACAAUGGGCGCAAGCCUGAUGCAGCGACGCCGCGGGGGGGAUGACGGCCUUCGGGUUGUAAACUCCUUUCGCUAGGGACGAAGCGUUAUGUGACGGUACCUGGAGAAGAAGCACCGGCUAACUACGUG
rnacentral:rRNA from 1 species